rnacentral:rRNA from 1 species
GGGGCUAAACUAUAUACCGAAGCUGCGGAUCGCAAUUUAUUGCGAUGGUAGGAGAGCGUUCUGUAAGCCGUUGAAGGUGAACUGUGAGGUUUGCUGGAGGUAUCAGAAGUGCGAAUGCUGACAUGAGUAACGAUAAAGGGGGUGAAAAACCCCCUCGCCAGAAGUCCAAGGUUUCCUACGCAACGUUAAUCGGCGUAGGGUUAGUCGGCCCCUAAGGCGAGGCAGAAAUGCGUAGUCGAUGGGAAACGGGUUAAUAUUCCCGUACUUCAUAUAACUGCGAUGGGAAGACGGAGUAGGUUAGCUCAGCAAGGCGAUGGUUGUCCUUGUUCAAGCGUGUAGAAAUGGUUCUUAGGAAAAUCCGGGAACCUCUAUUUCAAGGCGUGAUAACGAUCCCUCUUUUGGGAGAAGUGAGUGAUACCAUGCUUCCAGGAAAAUCCUCUAAGCUUCAGGUUAUAUGAAACCGUACCCCAAACCGACACAGGUGGACGAGAUGAGAAUUCUAAGGCGCUUGAGAGAACUCGGGUGAAGGAACUAGGCAAAAUGACACCGUAACUUCGGGAGAAGGUGUGCUCUUGUUAUGUGACAUCACUUGCUGAUGGAGCAAAGAAGAGUUGAAAAUACUAGGUGGCUGCGACUGUUUAUUAAAAACACAGCACUCUGCAAACACGUAAGUGGAAGUAUAGGGUGUGACGCCUGCCCGGUGCUUGAAGGUUAAUUGAUGAGGUUAGCGCUUGCGCGAAGCUUUUGAUCGAAGCCCAAGUAAACGGCGGCCGUAACUAUAACGGUCCUAAGGUAGCGAAAUUCCUUGUCGGGUAAGUUCCGACCUGCACGAAUGGCGUAACGACGGCCACACUGUCUCCACCCGAGACUCAGUGAAAUUGAAAUUGCUGUUAAGAUGCAGUAUACCCGCGGCCAGACGGAAAGACCCCGUGCACCUUUACUACAGCUUUGCAUUGAACUCUGAUCCUACUUGUGUAGGAUAGGUGGGAGGCUUUGAAGCUUUAACGCUAGUUAGAGUGGAGCCAACCUUGAAAUACCACCCUGGUAUGGUUGGGGUUCUAACCUUGGUCCGUUAUCCGGAUCGGGAACAAUGCAUGGUGGGUAGUUUGACUGGGGCGGUCUCCUCCUAAAGAGUAACGGAGGAGCGCAAAGGUAUCCUCAGCACGGUCGGACAUCGUGCAAUGAGCGCAAAGGUAAAAGGAUGCUUGACUGCGAGACUGACACGUCGA